GCAUUUGUUCUGACACCAACAGACUGCUCCGGGUGUUCCCAGUAAAGCUUCCCAAUUCUCUGCACUCCCUGGAUGCCCAUUUUUGGGUUCACCUGAGCUCCCCCCUCCCCCGCAGCCCACGGACCCCCCGAACCCCCCAGCCCCGGGGCUGCCGCGGGGGCCCCCAACGGCCCUCAGCCAAUCCCAAAGCGCCCACGCCGCCCGCGCCCAAUCCCAGCGCGCCGCGCUGAUGACUCAUCAGUCGCCGGGAAGACGCCUCGAAAAAAGGGCCCCAACUGCGCCCUCAGCCAAGCCCAGCGCGCCCCAAACCCCCCAAAACGGCGCCGCCCGGCUGGUUUGGGGCUGUCAGCAGCUGUCCGGCGCUGGGCAUGGAGCGUGUGCGGGGAGCUGGGGCCGUGCUGGCGGUCCUGGUGCUGCUGGGAGCCCCCCCGGCUGCGGGCGAGGAGCUGUCGGGGGUGUUCCAGGAAUUGACUACGAGCGAGUGUUACUUCAUCAACGGCACUGAGCGGGUGAGGUUCUUCGAGACAUUUGUCUACAACCGGCAGCAGUACGUGCACUUCGACAGCGAUGUGGGGGUCUAUGUGGGGGACACCCCGGACGGGGAGGAGGUUGCCAAGUACUGGAACAGCGACCCGGAAUGGCUGGAGCACAGACGGUCUGCGGUGGACAGAUGCCGGUACAACUACGAGGUGUCCACUCCGUUCCUGGUGAACCGCAGAGUGCCCCCCAGCGUGUCCAUCUUGCUGGUGCCGUCGAGCUCCCAGCCCGGCCCCGGCCGCCUGCUCUGCUCCGGGAUGGAUUUCUACCCUGUGCCGGUGCAGGUGAGGUGGUUCCAGGAUGGGCAGGAGGUGCUGAAGGAUGUGGUGACCACCGACAUGGUCCCCAACGGGGACUGGAGCUACCAGGUGCUGGUGCUGCUGGAAAUCCCCCCCCGGCGCGGGGUCACCUACAGCUGCCAGGUGGAGCACGUCAGCCUGGAGCACCCCCUCAGCCGGCACUGGGAGAUGCCACCGGACACCGUCCGCAGCAAGAUCCUGGUGGGGGUCGGGGGCUUCGUCUUGGGCUUGGUCUUCCUGGCGCUGGGGCUCGGCUUCUACCUGCGGGAGAAGAGCUCCUGAGCCACCAGCGGCCGCAGCCCCUCCUCGUGGCCUCGGGCCCAGCCGGGACUCCCCAGUCCAUCCCCACGCUGAGUUUGGGGGGGCCGUUUGUCCCCUCCAUCCCUGCUUUUAUUCUGACCCCAGCUGGCUGCUCCCAGUGUUCCCAGGAAAGCUUCCCACUUCUCCCCAGUCCUUUUGUUCUGGGCCUGCUCAUCUGGCUGUUUGCUGGUUCCCGUUUGCCUUCGUUUCCUGCGCCCUGUUCUGCCCCCAGCCCGGACCUGCUCGGACUUCAUGGGACAGGUUUGACCCCCUGUACCAGGGUGAAUUUAUGCUGAUACUUUUGGUCUGUGUUUGGCCCUGCCACCUGUGAAAGCUUUGCUCUUUCCCUGCCAAGUUAUGGGAAAACAAGCCCUGAUAUAUGGGAAAGUUGUCCUUAAAGAGAGCUUCUUGUAUAAACUGUUGUAAUUGGCAUUCUGUGAUUGGCCAGUUGUCCUCCAAGGUCGCUUGAAGGAGAGAUUGUGGAGGAGGAUGAGGAAGGCUUGGCUCCAGACUCAAUUAAGAAAGACCCCCAAAACACUCUGUGUGUGCGUGAGGGGAUUUCCCAAGUUCUCACAUGUGUACAGUAGAGAUGCACUGACAUAACCGGGGGUGGGACUGAGGGCCUCGGGCUGGGCGGUGCUGGCCACACCUGGGAGGUUGUGGUCACUCAGUUAAUUGUUUAAAAAGCAGAUAGUGCUUUCUUGGGGAGAGCUCACUUCACACCAAGGACAAUGUUGCCUUUGGUGGGGACGCCUGCCAGUUUGUGAACUUACUGACUCUCCAAGGAUGCAACUUCUGCUCUGGGUAAUUAUAGGCCUGCUAGGUCGGUAAGAGAACUUUAUGGGCAACAGCUGGGGAACUGGGGGCUUAUUUCUCUCCUCCUUCCUCCCUUUGGGUUUGUUUGUUUUG